rnacentral:tRNA from 1 species
GGGCGUGUCAGGCGAGGCCGGGGAACUUAAAAUUCCACUGGCUACGGGUUCGACUCCCGUCACGUCCA